rnacentral:lncRNA from 1 species
UGAUUUUUAAAACAGAACUCAAAUAAUAUGGUCUCCCAGGAAGUAGUUUUGAAUAAUAUACAAAGAAAAAACUGAAUUACGUUCGGAGCCUCCUCCAUAGAUGCUGUCCCUGAGGAGCUGAGCCCAGACCGCCUCUAGAGAGUGGGGGUUUCAUCCAAGAUAAACUCAGCCACCGUGGACCAAGUCCUGCAUCAGCCACCUGCCAGCUACAGCUCACGAUGGAUCUGAACAAACUCCUCAAAUUGGACAGAAAAGUAAGCAGGCACCACAGAAAUUAAAAUGAAAUUGUCUGUGAGACAGUUUUGUAAACCACAACACCACCGUGGAAAUCUGACUUAUCACACCACAGAAGGCUCACAGGAGCCUCUCUCCUCUCUUUUAAUCAAACAACGUGACGAAUUGCAAGGAUAGAAACUCAUUAAGUCUUUUAACCAGAAUUUUUCUUUUUAAUUACUGCAAGCUUAUUUGUUUUCUGUGGACAGAGUUUUGAACCUCAGUCAUUUUCGUCUCCCCGAGUUGAUGAAAACCCCAUGGCACAUCACUUCCGGAGCUGUUCUAUCCAAAGGAAGACAGGAUUCGUCUACCUAUGCUACAGGAACUCACCAUGGAAACAACAGAACCGAAGAAAAUUAAGCGGAACAAAGCAACAUUGCUGCGACUCCUCAACACAGG